rnacentral:lncRNA from 1 species
ACAACUGACUCACUUUCACUUCCACUUUCUCAUUGUAAGGACGGAGCCUCACGAACGGGAUCAGUGCUCUUAUGAAAGAGACCGCGGAGAGCCCCUGGACUCUUCCAGCGUCUAAGGACGCAGGGAAAGAGUGCUGACUGGACGAGGCGCAGGGCCCUCUUCAGAGCUGGAUGGUGGUGAUGCCGUGCUCUUGGACUCCCAGCCUCCAGUGCGAAAUGCAUGCCUGCUGUUUAUAAGCCACCUAGUUUGUGGGUGUGUCACAGAAGUCCAGUGGACCAAGGGCGGGAUGCUGAGCCCGGCGUUCCUCCGAGGCUGCGGAGCCGCCCUGACGCUCUUAGCUGUGCCCCUUCCCCCCGGGCUGUCCCCCCACCCUCCAGUGGUGUCUGCUGGGCCCUGCCCCUCAGGAUCCCACCUGGUCCUGCCCUUCCAGCCGGAAGCCUGGGGCUGCCUGCAGGAGGGAGGAUGCAACACUGCCAAGCCUGGCCUUGUAGACAACGUGGAGCCCCCGGCAAGGUGCCUGGUCCUGGGGUGAGGAAGGGGAGGAGGGGGCCAGACCUGCAGAGAGUCACAGAUGGAAGGUGUGCUUCCUAGGAGCAAAGAAAGCUGACAGAGGCUCGGGAUGGUGACCCAGAGGGAAGUCCUGUUGCACCGGGGACAGUGACACAGCAGAGGAUGAGAACCCGGGGAACUUGGAGUGCUGAGCCUCCCCGGCACCAUUUGCGCCGGACUCCAGCGGCAGCUUUUUAUCCAGGACUGGAUGAUCAAAAUCCGUGAGGCUGGGGCCAGGCAGGACUCUUACCUGCUUCCCCUGAGCGGCGGGAGUAGCCAAGAGGUAAGAGAGGUCUUACCUCCUCGAGGAAUCCUGCCCUUUUCUUGCAAUGAGUUCCUCCUUCUAACUAGCCCCCGUCGCUGUGGUGGGUGCAAACUGUGUCCUUUAAUUUGGGCCUUGAUCGUGCUUAGUCGUGUGGUCGUGUCUGACUCUUUGCAGC